rnacentral:rRNA from 1 species
UACAGAGGGGGCAAGCGUUGUCCGGAUUUAUUGGGCGUAAAGAGCGUGUAGGCGGCUUUACAGGUCCGUUGUGAAAACUCGAGGCUCAACCUCGAGACGCCGGUGGAAACCGUAAAGCUAGAGUCCGGAAGAGGAGAGUGGAAUUCCUGGUGUAGCGGUGAAAUGCGCAGAUAUCAGGAGGAACACCCGUGGCGAAAGCGGCUCUCUGGGACGGUACUGACGCUGAGACGCGAAAGCGUGGGGAGCAAACAGG